AUCGCUUCUCGGCCUUUUGGCUAAGAUCAAGUGUAGUAUCUGUUCUUAUCAGUUUAAAAACACAUAACAUUCAGGAGCCCAGCAGUUGGUUCCAGACAUCCGAGGGAUCAGCUUGCAGAUUAGUCAAAUGAUCUGUGGCUACAUUAAGGGCAUAUUAAUUCAGCGUUGU
rfam:Myotis lucifugus cont2.48196, whole genome shotgun sequence.